rnacentral:rRNA from 1 species
GACGAACGCUGGCGGCGUGCCUAAUACAUGCAAGUAGAACGCUGAAGGAGGAGCUUGCUUCUCCGGAUGAGUUGCGAACGGGUGAGUAACGCGUAGGUAACCUGCCUGGUAGCGGGGGAUAACUAUUGGAAACGAUAGCUAAUACCGCAUAAGAGUAGAUGUCGCAUGACAUUUGCUUAAAAGGUGCAACUGCACCACUACCAGAUGGACCUGCGUUGUAUUAGCUAGUUGGUGAGGUAACGGCUCACCAAGGCAACGAUACAUAGCCGACCUGAGAGGGGGAUCGGCCACACUGGGACUGAGACACGGCCCAGACUCCUACGGGAGGCAGCAGUAGGGAAUCUUCGGCAAUGGACGGAAGUCUGACCGAGCAACGCCGCGUGAGUGAAGAAGGGUUUCGGAUCGUAAAGCUCUGUUGUAAGAGAAGAACGAGUGUGAGAGUGGAAAGUUCACACUGUGACGGUAUCUUACCAGAAAGGGACGGCUAACUACGUG